rnacentral:misc_RNA from 1 species
GACAAAUGUUGCUCACUACAAUCGUGAACGUAUAAGAAGAGGAGCAACUGUUGACAAGACGGUGUGCCGGAAAAACCUUGGAAGAUUGACUCGCCUUUGGCUGAAGGCUGAACAGGAGCGGCAACAUAAUUACUUGAAAGACGGACCAUAUGUUACUCCAGAAGAAGCAGUAGCCAUAUAUACUACCACUGUGCAUUGGUUGGAGUCCAGGAAGUUUUCUCCUAUACCAUUCCCUCCGUUGUCAUACAAGCAUGACACAAAGCUACUAAUCCUUGCACUUGAGAGACUGAAAGAAUCUUACAGUGUGGCUGUGAGGUUGAACCAGCAGCAAAGGGAAGAGUUGGGUCUCAUUGAGCAAGCUUAUGAUAAUCCUCAUGAAGCAUUAUCACGAAUUAAGCGUCAUCUGCUUACUCAGCGUGCCUUCAAAGAA